rnacentral:rRNA from 1 species
CGGAGGGUGCAAGCGUUAUCCGGAUUCACUGGGUUUAAAGGGUGCGUAGGUGGGCUAGUAAGUCCGUGGUGAAAUCUCCGAGCUUAACUCGGAGACUGCCGUGGAUACUAUUAGUCUUGAAUAUCGUGGAGGUAAGCGGAAUAUGUCAUGUAGCGGUGAAAUGCUUAGAUAUGACAUAGAACACCGAUAGCGGAGGCAGCUUACUACGCGAUUAUUGACACUGAGGCACGAAAGCGUGGGGAUCAAACAGGAUUAGAUACCCUGGUAGUCCACGCCCUAAACGAUGGAUACUCGACAUACGCGAUACACUGUGUGUGUCUGAGCGAAAGCAUUAAGUAUCCCACCUGGGAAGUACGACCGCAAGGUUG